rnacentral:lncRNA from 1 species
GCCAGAACAAUAGGAAAAAGGUGUCCGCGGGAACAAGAGAUGUGUUAAAGCAAAAACCAAAAAUACAAUGCUUGAAGAUGAAGAUUAAGUAAAUAGUACGACAAACUAUUUGUAUCGACCAAGGUAAGUAAGAGUACCUGACAUCAACUAGAAUAAGGACACUUAUUAGAUUAGGCGUGUGAAUGUUAACAAUAUUCUUAGUCCAAACAGAUUAAAAACUUUGUUCAUGUAGUUUCCUUUAUGUACAUGCUAUUUUAUCCGAAUUUGUAUGAGGCCAACACAAUAUACAAGAACAUACUACAAGACCAGAGUUUGAGACAUUAGGAUUCACUUCACAAUUUGAAGAAACUAUACUUUGGCAAAUCUAUAUGACGCCACCACAAUAUACAGGAACAUACCUUGCUUCAGUAACUUAAUAGCAGAACCAGAUAUAAGCAAAUCAAGAGCCUCUCACAUACCGCUAGCUUUGCCCAGUGCUGCCAUUCUGACCAAAAACAAGGUUCCCAUUUUUAGACUUAGUAGCAAAGCAAAUCCACUAUAUAAAGAUAUAAAGAUAUCUAAUUUAGGCAUAAAUUUUCUGGAUGGUCACUAUACAAUGGCAAAUAAAGGCAUAAAUUUUCAGCACUAAAGAAAGUACAAAAACAAAUUUAAUAUAUUCUCUUUCUUGACCAGCUCCAAAUAAGAUCUUUUGGUUCAUGAAAGGUAGAAGAUACAGAGAAAGUGAAAAGAAUGAUCACCCAGACAUAAGGCCUCGGCACAAACAGGUUAGCUGACAGGAGCAGAAGAGAUAUAUGUUGACUACAUCACCAUUGGUGAGCUCAAACAUAAUACACUAAAAAGUGACUUGAUCAAGAAUAGUAGGUAUUGUCCUCCACCAAGUGAUCAGCUAGCUAUGAAAAGAGUUAUGGGAAACCAUGUGAAUCCAUACAACCAGUUAGCUACGAUUAAUUGCUGUUGCUUUUCCUAAAUUUAAUAAUUUUCAGAACAAUAUCUAAUUUUUAGAACUGUUAUAUCUAAAUGUCAAACCAAGGCGUAUAUUCAGAGAAAGAAGAUAAGUUCAGUUUUGUCUGUACUGCGGGCUCGCAUAUCAGUUCAGUUUGGUUUGUAUUGCGGGCGGUCAGAACCACAAACUAAUUGAGGGAGAAGAUAAGGGACCUGUUAGCUGAUGGCCUGAUGUGCUGCAGGCGGCCGGAAUCGAGAGUCCUUGAUCGAUCGAGCAGGGAGCUUGGUCCGGGCGGCGCUCUCCCUAGGCCCGCGACGGCGCUCCUCCCCAAUCCGCAGCGGUGCUCCUUCCAUGCCGCCGCGGCGGUUCACGGCAACAGGUUCCCGGACCGGUGGUGUACUCUUCUCUGGUGCUCACGGCUGCACGGCGCAGCCUCUCCUCCGCGGCGGCGCCGCUCGGCUGCUCGGAGGCGGCUCUAAUCUUUCCUUUCGAAUUUCCUUUUUCCCACCGUUUUCUCAUUCUGCUUCGCUGGAACGCCUGUGGUGCGUAUGUGUGGGGUAAUUUUUUACUGCUGUCCGUUGGAAUGCGGUUUGGAGGGCUGAUUCGUGGCCGCAUGCUGUGUGGAACAGGGGAUAGACUGAGAUGAUAACAAUUUUUUCUUUUCUUUUUAUUUUAGAAAAUG